GUACAUUUUUGGGACAUCUUUAAUUGUAUAUUUUGAAAGAAGGCUUAAUUGUUUGAUUUCCUCUGUUCUGUUCUCUCAGCACAGUAAAUGGCAUUGUCAUGCAGGGACGUGCGGUCAUAUGAGGCAGGGGUGAUGGCAGCAGACCAACUUCAGGGGAAUGAUAGUGUCGUCACCGGGAUUGAUUAUGAUGAUGUGGGGGUGGAGUCUGAGGAGUGACACUGGACAUGAAGAGGUCAGCAGAGGACUCCCAUCAGCUGUGGUGGACUAGAGCUCUGAGUUUAUCAUUGAGAGAUGCCAGACACUGGCACUCUGAGAUUCUUCUGAAUGAAGAGUGCAUUACAAAUAAAAUGAAUUAUUAUUAUUAUUAUUAGACAUAUUUGAUAGGGC
ensembl:lncRNA